rnacentral:rRNA from 1 species
GAAUCUUGGACAAUGGGGGAAACCCUGAUCCAGCCAUGCCGCGUGAGUGAUGAAGGCCUUAGGGUCGUAAAGCUCUUUCGCCUGGGAAGAUAAUGACGGUACCAGGUAAAGAAACCCCGGCUAACUCCGUGCCAGCAGCCGCGGUAAUACGGAGGGGACUAGCGUUGUUCGGAAUUACUGGGCGUAAAGCGCACGUAGGCGGAUUCGUAAGUCAGGGGUGAAAUCCCGAGGCUCAACCUCGGAACUGCCUUUGAUACUGCGAAUCUCGAGUCCGGAAGAGGUGAGUGGAAUUCCUAGUGUAGAGGUGAAAUUCGUAGAUAUUAGGAAGAACACCAGUGGCGAAGGCGGCUCACUGGUCCGGUACUGACGCUGAGGUGCGAAAGCGUGGGGAGCAAACAGG